GCCAAAUAAGGGGGGACCUAAUGUCCUUCCCCUUGGCCCCCACCCCUGAGCGGUGGGUUGGGCCCUAAAUUAGAAUAAGGGGGGGAGCCAAGGGGGAGGACAUUAGGUCCCCCAAUU